AAAAGUAAUCUAUUCCUAUAAAUUCUAUUUCUAACAUCCAAAUUUAUAAAUUCAUUAAAUCUUUUUGUAAAUAUAGAACAGAUUUGGUAGCAUCAGGAUUUUGAAAACACUCCAAUGAGUUAUGCAAAGAAAACUUGGGACAUAAGAGAGUACCUCUCCGACUUCACUAAUUGCUCAGUAUUUCAGAAGGUCACAACUUGCAAGGGUUUGAAAAAUAUUUGCUGAAUAUAAAACACAGGGGAAAAAAAUGAUACGGUAUUUAUUUCAUGUGCAAUAGCUCAGGACCGAAGCCUCAGAAGUUUUAACUUGUUGGUGACCAAUGAAAAAAUUGAGAAUUGAGAAAUUGAGCAUCAAAACUCCUUCAAACCUUGUGCAAUACUCCUUGUGCGCCUGUAGGCGGCUAAAUGAGGCUCUACAAAAAAAUAAAAAUAAAGUCUUUAAAGCAGACAAAGACUUUAAACAAAAAAGGUUUCCAGGAAUUGUAACUGAGUGGCUGUACUGUAGGAGUUCCUGGAAUAGCGAGUUACACACUUAAACCGCCUUUAACUUCUUUCACCCCAUCAGGCCACAUCCCACAGUGAAUAUUUUAAACUGCAUCCAGUACCCACCCUACAUUCCUGCUUAAGACUUACUCGCACAACCAGUGCAAAACAGACACUAACGUACACAUUGACAUUCAAACAGAAAACCAGUGCAAUGGAAGGAAAGAUGCCUCUGUCUACUCCAGGCUUCAGUGCACCCACUUACCUGGCUUGGUCCAUCUUUAACACAAUAUGCUGCUGUACUCCACUUGGAAUCAUCGCAAUUGUGUUCUCGUGCCGGACGGACACGGCGAAUCUUAUCGGUGAUACCACAAGAGCUAAUGCGCAUUCCCGAUUGGCCAAGAAACUGAACAUCGCUGCAAUGGUCAUUGGAAUUGUUUUCGUCAUCAUCUUCAUCGCGAUUUAUGUUGUUUUAUUUCAAAAGAUCCAGGA